CCUACGGGCGGCAGCAGUGAGGAAUAUUGGUCAAUGGGCUUACGCCUGAACCAGCCAAGUCGCGUGAGGGAAGACUGCCCUAUGGGUUGUAAACCUCUUUUGUCAGGGAGCAACGCCGGCUACGUGUAGCCGGACUGAGAGUACCUGAAGAAAAAGCAUCGGCUAACUCCGUGCCAGCCGCCGCGGUAAUACGGAGGAUGCGAGCGUUAUCCGGAUUUAUUGGGUUUAAAGGGUGCGUAGGCCGAAUGCCAAGUCAGCGGUAAAAUCGCGGGGCUCAACCUCGCUCCGCCGUUGAAACUGGCGUUCUUGAGUGGGCGAGAAGUAUGCGGAAUGCGCGGUGUAGUGGUGAAAUGCAUAGAUAGCACGCAGAACUCCGAUUGCGAAGGCAGCAUACCGGCGCCCAACUGACGCUGAAGCACGAAAGCGUGGGGAUCGAACAGGAUUAGAUACCCGGGUAGUC
rnacentral:rRNA from 1 species